rnacentral:rRNA from 1 species
UGGGGAAUAUUGCACAAUGGGCGCAAGCCUGAUGCAGCCAUGCCGCGUGUUUGAAGAAGGCCUUCGGGUUGUAAAGUACUUUCAGCGAGGAGGAAGGCGUUGUGGUUAAUAACCGCAGCGAUUGACGUUACUCGCAGAAGAAGCACCGGCUAACUCCGUGCCAGCAGCCGCGGUAAUACGGAGGGUGCAAGCGUUAAUCGGAAUUACUGGGCGUAAAGCGCACGCAGGCGGUCUGUCAAGUCGGAUGUGAAAUCCCCGGGCUCAACCUGGGAACUGCAUCCGAAACUGGCAGGCUAGAGUCUUGUAGAGGGGGGUAGAAUUCCAGGUGUAGCGGUGAAAUGCGUAGAGAUCUGGAGGAAUACCGGUGGCGAAGGCGGCCCCCUGGACAAAGACUGACGCUCAGGUGCGAAAGCGUGGGGAGCAAACA